rnacentral:rRNA from 1 species
GACGAACGCUGGCGGCGUGCUUAACACAUGCAAGUCGAGCGGAAAGGCCCUUUCGGGGGUACUCGAGCGGCGAACGGGUGAGUAACACGUGAGUAAUCUGCCCUUCACUUGGGGAUAACUACCGGAAACGGUGGCUAAUACCCGAUAUGACCAAUCACUGCAUGGUGUGUUGGUGGAAAGUUUUUUCGGUGGAGGAUGUGCUCGCGGCCUAUCAGCUUGUUGGUGGGGUAAUGGCCUACCAAGGCUUCGACGGGUAGCCGGCCUGAGAGGGUGACCGGCAACACUGGGACUGAGAAACGGCCCAGACUCCUACGGGAGGCAGCAGUGGGGAAUAUUGGACAAUGGGCGAAAGCCUGAUCCAGCAACGCCGCGUGAGGGAUGACGGCCUUCGGGUUGUAAACCUCUUUCAGCGGGGACGAAGCGCCGGUAAUGGUGGUGACGGUACCCGCAGAAGAAGCACCGGCCAACUACGUGCCAGCCGCCGCGGUAA